UACGAGGGGUGCAAGCGUUAUUCGGAUUUAUUGGGCGUAAAGGGUGCGUAGACGGCAUAUCAAGUCUGUUGUUAAAUACCUCGGCUUAACUGAGGAUCAGCGGUGGAUACUGAUGUGCUUGAGGGCGGAAGAGAGAAGUGGAAUUCUCGGAGUAGCGGUAAAAUGCGUAGAUCUCGAGGGGAACACCGAUGGCGGAGGCAGCUUCUUGGUCCGUUUCUGACGUUGAGGCACGAAAGCGUGGGUGGCAAACAGG
rnacentral:rRNA from 1 species